CCAUAAUGUAUUCCACUGUUUGCCUGAGCCGCUAUGUAUAUCUCUUGCUGCGUGUUGGGGGGGGCGUGUGUGUGUAUGUGUGUGUGUGUGUGUGAGUGAGAUGAGCUAAACUUUGAUAGUGGUAAUUUUAAAUGCUAAAUUUUAAGAACUUUGAAUUUGUUUUCCCAUUUCCAUCCUGUGAAAUUGACAUUGAACUUUGCUAUUUUUUUUCAGGGGAAUUUAAGAAAAACUUCGCAGAGACUGAAGAGGACAAAAGGGAACUUCAGAAAAACCUCUGUAAGUUUUCUGAUAUCCCUCUAAUACCAUAGCUCCUUAGGAUGACUGAUUUCAUGGCCUCUUUCAGACUCCCUGCCAUUUUAUCUCUAAGCCAUCCAUUUCCACACACUUCUUCUAGGUGUUC
rnacentral:lncRNA from 1 species